CAAGCUAGCAAGUGAAAACAAAGAGGGGACACAUAAAUCAAAUCAUGCAAAUUAAAGCAAGGAUUAAUUUAGCUAAAUUGUUCACAAAUUCUAAGAAGCAUUCCUUCCUUAUCAAGAAAAACAUUGUUUAGUCUGCAGGAUAUAAAUAAUUUAUCAAAAUCUUAACACAGAUGACAAAAUUAAUAUUAAUACAUAGAAGGAAUGAUUCUAGUCAAACAUUUCUGGAUUUCAAUUCCAAAUGUGAUGCAUAUAUUUAAUUACAAGAAAAUAGUAAAACUGUGGUUAAAUAACUUCCUGCAAAUGAACAUAGUUCAGAAGAAAGCUGCCUCCAUCUAGUUGUGUUCUUUUGGAAACCCUUGGCUGAAAAAGAUCAGUAACCCAUACUACUAUUGCUCCCUUGACCUCAAACACCUAAAUACAUUUACGCCUCACUUGCUCAAAGAGAAAAAAUGAUCUCCUGUUCUACAAGCCCAUCAGACAGACUAAAUCAAGGAGGUGCAUGGGUCCUGCAAGAAAAAAAUAAGCAGUCCAGGAAUUUGCAGUUAACAUACGAAAAGCCAAAACGUACCAGUUCCCUUGCUUCUUCGAGCUGUUUCUCAACAUUUGCAACCAUCUGCUUCUUGUCAUCUGAAACAGAAUUGUGAAAAUACCAAUAUAAUUGUGCUCUUGCCAUGAAAGAAAAAUAUACCAUUUCAAAAGCUUA